GCUCGCUUGGUGAAAAUGGUAAACACGGUGGAUUUAAAAUCCGCUCCUACAAAGGUUACUGGUUCGAGUCCAGUAGCGAGUA
rnacentral:tRNA from 1 species